GGACCAAGAAACACUUGAAUUUAUAGUCCAAGUCCUAUGGAUCUUCUUUGGCUAAUGAUCCGCCGAAGAAAACAACAAACAAAUUCUCUGGCCCUCUGAAAUCAUCUUUAUCUAUAGCUCUUCGAAAACUGCUCUUCGCUUUGUUUUCCUUGGCUUUAAUUAAAGAUCACAAGUUAACUGCAUGGCGGCAAUUAGCCUGCGGCCUUCCGAUUGCCCAAUCGCAACCAUGCCAGGUGUUUUAAAAGCCCGAAAAGUGGACGCAGUGCGUCCAGUUUAUGCCCAUGUUGCUGCGUGGGCGCAUCACCCACUCCUGGCUGCUCCUUCAUAAACCUUUUAUUUUUGGUGUAUUUUUACUUUUUAUUUUGUUUUUUUUUUUUUUUGAAAGUGAACAAAUUGUUGGUUAUGCAAGCGACAAUGCAGCAAUGCAACACAUCAACUUGACAGAAAUAAAGUGGAAAUCUUGCCGGGCAAAAA